AUCUUUGCGCUUGGGGCAAUGACGCAGCUUAUGAGGUUCUAACCGAGGCGCGUCUAUUGCUGGUUGAAAACUAUUUCCAAACCCCCUCUUGGGCCUUGGUUCAGCCAUGUGCCCUCGAGAAUUUCUGGAAGGGCUCUCUCUUCGGAGUGGGGCCCUAUUAAUAUAGUC
rnacentral:snRNA from 1 species